GACGAACGCUGGCGGCGUGCUUAACACAUGCAAGUCGAACGGAAAGGCUCCAGCUUGCUGGCGUACUCGAGUGGCGAACGGGUGAGUAACACGUGGGUAAUCUGCCCUGCACUCUGGGAUAAGCCUGGGAAACUGGGUCUAAUACUGGAUAUGACCUUUCUCUUUAUGGGGUUUGGUGGAAAGUUUUUCGGUGUAGGAUGAGCCCGCGGCCUAUCAGCUUGUUGGUGGGGUGAUGGCCUACCAAGGCGACGACGGGUAGCCGGCCUGAGAGGGUGAUCGGCCACAUUGGGACUGAGAUACGGCCCAGACUCCUACGGGAGGCAGCAGUGGGGAAUAUUGCACAAUGGGCGGAAGCCUGAUGCAGCGACGCCGCGUGAGGGAUGACGGCCUUCGGGUUGUAAACCUCUUUCAGCAGGGACGAAGCGUAAGUGACGGUACCUGCAGAAGAAGCACCGGCUAACUAUGUG
rnacentral:rRNA from 1 species